AUACGGAGGGGGUUAGCGUUGUGCGGAAUUACUGGUCGUAAAGCGCACGUAGGCGGACUGGAAAGUUGGGGGUGAGAUCCCGGGGCUCAACCCCGGAACUGCCUCCAAAACUUCCAAUCUAGAGAUCGAGAGAGGGGAGUGGAAUUCCAAGUGUAGAGGUGAAAUUCGUAGAUAUUUGGAGGAACACCAGUGGCGAAGGCGGCUCACUGGCUCGAUACUGACGCUGAGGUGCGAAAGCGUGGGGAGCAAACAGGAGUAGAUACCCUAGUAGUCC
rnacentral:rRNA from 1 species